rnacentral:other from 1 species
UACAUAUAAAAAAAUUUUUUUAUUAGCCGACACAAAUCAACAGAUUUUUUAAAGUUUAUAGAGUAUACUUUGCAGUACCGACACUUGUGUAGGGAAUAAAACGAUUCGUUGGAGGUUUUCAAACAGAUGGAAACAGGCAAAGUUAAAUGGUUUAAUGCAGAAAAAGGUUUCGGUUUCAUUGAAAGAGAAAAUGGUGACGACGUGUUCGUUCAUUUCUCCGCAAUCCAAGGUGAUGGCUACAAAUCCCUGGACGAAGGCCAAAGCGUUCAAUUUUCCGUGGUUCAAGGCCAACGUGGCCCGCAAGCUGAAAACGUAGUAAAACUUUAAUUCCAUAAAUAACGAAGCCUGUUCCAGUUACGACUGGGACAGGCUUU